UACAGAGGGCGCGAGCGUUGUCCGGAAUCACUGGGCGUAAAGGGCGCGUAGGUGGCCACCAUAAGGCCGCGGUGAAAGUUCGGGGCUCAACCCCGGAUCGGCCGCGGCGACUGUGGGGCUUGGGUACUGUAGAGGCAGAUGGAAUUCCGGGUGUAGCGGUGGAAUGCGUAGAGAUCCGGAAGAACACCGGAGGCGAAGGCGGCUUGCUGGGCUCUGUCUGACGCUGAGGCGCGAAAGCGUGGGGAGCGAACAGG
rnacentral:rRNA from 1 species